UACGUAGGGUGCGAGCGUUAAUCGGAAUUACUGGGCGUAAAGCGUGCGCAGGCGGUUUUGUAAGCCAGAUGUGAAAGCCCCGGGCUUAACCUGGGAAUGGCAUUUGGGACUGCAAGGCUUGAGUGCGGCAGAGGAGACUGGAAUUCCCGGUGUAGCAGUGAAAUGCGUAGAUAUCGGGAGGAACACCGGUGGCGAAGGCGGCGACCUGGGUAGAUACUGACGCUGAGGCGCGAAAGCGUGGGGAGCAAACAGG
rnacentral:rRNA from 1 species